UACGAAGGGGGCUAGCGUUGUCCGGAAUCAUUGGGCGUAAAGCGCGUGUAGGCGGCCCGGUAAGUCCGCUGUGAAAGUCGGGGGCUCAACCCUCGGAUGCCGGUGGAUACUGUCGGGCUCGAGUACGGAAGAGGCGAGUGGAAUUCCUGGUGUAGCGGUGGAAUGCGCAGAUAUCAGGAGGAACACCAACGGCGAAGGCAGCUCGCUGGGACGGUACUGACGCUGAGGCGCGAAAGCGUGGGGAGCGAACAGG
rnacentral:rRNA from 1 species